rnacentral:rRNA from 1 species
AUUGAACGCUGGCGGCAGGCUUAACACAUGCAAGUCGAGCGGAGAUGAGGUGCUUGCACCUUAUCUUAGCGGCGGACGGGUGAGUAAUGCUUAGGAAUCUGCCUAUUAGUGGGGGACAACAUUCCGAAAGGAAUGCUAAUACCGCAUACGUCCUACGGGAGAAAGCAGGGGAUCUUCGGACCUUGCGCUAAUAGAUGAGCCUAAGUCGGAUUAGCUAGUUGGUGGGGUAAAGGCCUACCAAGGCGACGAUCUGUAGCGGGUCUGAGAGGAUGAGCCGCCACACUGGGACUGGGAGACGGCCCAGACGCCUACGGGAGGCAGGAGUGGGGAAUAUUGGACAAUGGGGGGAACCCUGAUCCAGCCAUGCCGCGUGUGUGAAGAAGGCCUUAUGGUUGUAAAGCACUUUAAGCGAGGAGGAGGCUACUGAGACUAAUACUCUUGGAUAGUGGACGUUACUCGCAGAAUAAGCACCGGCUAACUCCGUGCCAGCCGCCGCCGUAACAC